UCGCACUCUCUGGAAACAGGGAGGUCGAGUUCGGCUGGAUCGGUGACAGGUGGCUGCAUGGCUGUCGUCAGCUCGUGUCGUGAGAUGUUGGGUUAAGUCCGCAACGAGCGCAACCCUCGUCCUUAGUUGCCAGCAUUCAGUUGGGCACUCUAAGGAGACUGCCGGUGUUAAACCGGAGGAAGGCGGGGAUGACGUCAAGUCCUCAUGGCCCUUAUGUCCAGGGCUACACACGUGCUACAAUGGCCGGUACAAAGGGUAGCAAGACCGCGAGGUGGAGCCAAUCCCAAAAAGCCGGUCUCAGUUCGGAUUGGAGUCUGCAACUCGACUCCAUGAAGUUGGAAUCGCUAGUAAUCGUGGAUCAGCAUGCCACGGUGAAUACGUUCCCGGGCCUU
rnacentral:rRNA from 1 species